GUUUGAUCCUGGCUCAGGAUGAACGCUGGCGGCGUGCUUAACACAUGCAAGUCGAACGGUGAAGCAGAGCUUGCUCUGUGGAUCAGUGGCGAACGGGUGAGUAACACGUGAGCAACCUGCCCCGGACUCUGGGAUAACAGUUGGAAACAGCUGCUAAUACCGGAUACGAGCCGUGAUCGCAUGGUCAACGGUUGGAAAGAAUUUCGGUCUGGGAUGGGCUCGCGGCCUAUCAGCUUGUUGGUGAGGUAACGGCUCACCAAGGCGUCGACGGGUAGCCGGCCUGAGAGGGUGACCGGCCACACUGGGACUGAGACACGGCCCAGACUCCUACGGGAGGCAGCAGUGGGGAAUAUUGCACAAUGGGCGAAAGCCUGAUGCAGCAACGCCGCGUGAGGGACGACGGCCUUCGGGUUGUAAACCUCUUUUAGCAGGGAAGAAGCGAAAGUGACGGUACCUGCAGAAAAAGCGCCGGCUAACUACGUGCCAGCAGCCGCGGUAAUACGUAGGGCGCAAGCGUUAUCCGGAAUUAUUGGGCGUAAAGAGCUCGUAGGCGGUCUGUCGCGUCUGCUGUGAAAACCCGAGGCUCAACCUCGGGCCUGCAGUGGGUACGGGCAGACUAGAGUGCGGUAGGGGAGAUUGGAAUUCCUGGUGUAGCGGUGGAAUGCGCAGAUAUCAGGAGGAACACCGAUGGCGAAGGCAGAUCUCUGGGCCGUAACUGACGCUGAGGAGCGAAAGGGUGGGGAGCAAACAGGCUUAGAUACCCUGGUAGUCCACCCCGUAAACGUUGGGUUUCUAGUUGUGGGGACCAUUCCACGGUUUCCGUGACGCAGCUAACGCAU
rnacentral:rRNA from 1 species